rnacentral:rRNA from 1 species
UACGUAGGGCAGCGAGCGUUUUGUUUCGGGAGUUUACUGGGGCGUAAAGGGGUGUGUAGGCGGUUUCUUUUUUUUUUUUUUUUUUAAGUUUUGGGUGUGAAAUCUCCCGCUCAACCGGGGAGGGGUGCGCCGAAUAUGAGGGGACUUUUUUUUUUUUUUGGGAGUAUGGGGAUGGGGGAAAGUGGAAUUUCCUGGGUGUAGCGGUGAAAU